rnacentral:misc_RNA from 1 species
UCCCUGGCCACAUCAUAUCCACUCAGUCCCGGCAUGCCGAUGUCCAGCAGGAUGAUUUCCGGCUUGAAAUCAGACGCGGCUUUCAAUGCGGCCUCGCCACUGAACACGGUCACGACUUCAUGGCCCCACGCCGUCAGGAGCGCACUGGUCGUAUUGGCAGCGUCGGUAUUGUCAUCGACGACCAGGAUUCUGCGCUUUACUGUCGAUGGUGUAUCCAUCAGCGCGGGCGGCUUUGCAGCCAACACAGAUUUUGACAACGGAAUGGAGACUACGAACUCACUUCCCUGAUUGAGUCCCGCGCUUGACGCUGUGACCGUGCCUCCGU